GGGGAAUAUUGCACAAUGGGCGCAAGCCUGAUGCAGCCAUGCCGCGUGUGUGAAGAAGGCCUUCGGGUUGUAAAGCACUUUCAGCGAGGAGGAAGGGUAGUGUGUUAAUAGCACAUUGCAUUGACGUUACUCGCAGAAGAAGCACCGGCUAACUCCGUGCCAGCAGCCGCGGUAAUACGGAGGGUGCAAGCGUUAAUCGGAAUUACUGGGCGUAAAGCGCACGCAGGCGGUUUGUUAAGUCAGAUGUGAAAUCCCCGCGCUUAACGUGGGAACUGCAUUUGAAACUGGCAAGCUAGAGUCUUGUAGAGGGGGGUAGAAUUCCAGGUGUAGCGGUGAAAUGCGUAGAGAUCUGGAGGAAUACCGGUGGCGAAGGCGGCCCCCUGGACAAAGACUGACGCUCAGGUGCGAAAGCGUGGGGAGCAAAACAGGAUUAGAUACCCUGGUAGUCCACGC
rnacentral:rRNA from 1 species